rnacentral:rRNA from 1 species
UACGGAGGUUGCGCGCGUUAAUCGGAAUUACUGGGCGUAAAGCGCGCGUAGGCGGUUUGUUAAGUCGGAUGAGAAAUCCCCGGGCUCAACCUGGGAACUGCACCCGAUACUGGCCGACUUGAGUGCGAGAGAGGGAGGUAGAAUUCCACGUGUAGCGGUGAAAUGCGUAGAUAUGUGGAGGAAUACCGGUGGCGAAGGCGGCCUCCUGGCUCGACACUGACGCUGAGGUGCGAAAGCGUGGGAGCAAACAGG